UUGAACGCUGGCGGCCGUCUUAACACAUGCCAGUCGAGCGGUAGCACAGGGGAGCUUGCUCCCUGGGUUACGAGCGGCGGACGGGUGUGUAAUUUCUGUGAAACUGCCUGCUGGAGGGGGAUAACUACUGGAAACGGUAGCUAAUACCGCAUAACGUCGCAAGACCAAAGAGGGGGACCUUCGGUCCUCUUGCCAUCAGAUGUGCCCAGAUGGGAUUCGCUAGUAGGUGGGUUAAUUGCUCACCUAGGCGACGAUCCCUAGCUUGUCCGAGAGGAUGACCAGACACCCUGGAUGUGAGAAACGGUCCCGACUCCUACGGGAGGAAGCAGUGGGGAAUCUUGCGCGAUGGGGGAAAGCCUGAUGCAGCCAUGCCGGGUGUGUGAAGAAGGACUUCGGGCUGUAAAGCACUUUAGGCGAGGAGGAAGGUGGUGAGCUUAAUACGUUCAGAAAUUGACGUUACUCGCAGAAGAAGCACCGGCUAACUCCGUG
rnacentral:rRNA from 1 species